ACAUCCAGCGAACUUGGCAGAGAUGCCUUGGUGCCUUCGGGAACGCUGAGACAGGUGCUGCAUGGCUGUCGUCAGCUCGUGUUGUGAAAUGUUGGGUUAAGUCCCGNAACGAGCGCAACCCUUAUCCUUUGUUGCCAGCGAUUCGGUCGGGAACUCAAAGGAGACUGCCGGUGAUAAACCGGAGGAAGGUGGGAUGACGUCAAGUCAUCAUGGCCCUUACGAGUAGGGCUACACACGUGCUACAAUGGCGCAUACAAAGAGAAGCGACCUCGCGAGAGCAAGCGGACCUCAUAAAGUGCGUCGUAGUCCGGAUCGGAGUCUGCAACUCGACUCCGUGAAGUCGGAAUCGCUAGUAAUCGUGGAUCAGAAUGCCACGGUGAAUACGUUCCCGGGCCUUGUACACACCGCCCGUCACACCAUGGGAGUGGGUUGCAAAAGAAGUAGGUAGCUUAACCUUCGGGAGGGCGCUUACCACUUUGUGAUUCAUGACUGGGGUGAAGUCGUAACAAGGUAGGCGUAGCGAG
rnacentral:rRNA from 1 species